GACGAACGCUGGCGGCGUGCUUAACACAUGCAAGUCGUGCGGUAAGGCCCUUUCGGGGGUACACGAGCGGCGAACGGGUGAGUAACACGUGAGCAACCUGCCCUUCACUUUGGGAUAACUGCCGGAAACGGUGGCUAAUACCGGAUAUGACUUCCUCACGCAUGUGGGGUGGUGGAAAGCCUUCGGGUGGUGGGGGAUGGGCUCGCGGUCUAUCAGCUUGUUGGUGGGGUGAUGGCCUACCAAGGCUUCGACGGGUAGCCGGCCUGAGAGGGUGACCGGCCAAAAGGGGAAGGAGAAGCGGCCCAAACCCCUAGGGGGGGGAGCGGGGGGGAAAAUGGGAAAAGGGGCGAAAGCCUGAACCAGCAACGCCGGGGGGGGGAUGAGGGCCUUGGGGUUGGAAACCUCUUUCGCCGGCGACGAAGGGGGAGUGACGGUAGGAGGUAAAGAAGCACCGGCCAACUACGG
rnacentral:rRNA from 1 species